CCCUGAGGGUGCUGAGCCUGGGCCAGACAUCUGCCCUGCAGAGCUCUCCACUCUCUGGAGGGAAAGAGGAUUCCAAGUGGAGUGCACAGGGCCUAGGGGCAGGGCAGGGCAGGGCAUGGGAGCAGCCGGGGCAGGUUGGACAGUAGGCUCCACAGCUGCAUUCUUGCCUCUGAUGGUCUGGAGGCUUUGCUGCUGACCAGGACUCCAGGAGUCCCGCCCACUGCUGACUGUGAGCUCCAUGUGACUCUCCAGGGCACACCCCCACUUCUCCCAGUGAUGCUGACUGUCCCCUGGUGGCGCAGGAAGAUGUGCCCGGGGGCAGCUCUCUGAUGCAAGAUGUGGGCAGGAGCUCAGUUGUGGCUGGUACCAGGAACAAACUCCCAGGCUCCAACUAGCAGGUGGCCCAACAACCCCUGGGAGGCCUCCAGCCCCUGCUCACAUCUUUAUCUCCAUCUGCAGUUGCAUUUCCCAGUUGCUCCUUGGUGCUCACUGCUUUCUCGUCUCUUCCUGCUGCCAUAGCUGGCAUCCCAAGCCCCUUGACAGCUUUCUCUGCAUUCCAGCGCCUGACACUUUGUUGUUUUCCUUUCCACUGACUCUUCUGCCCUUCAUGACUGCAUUUGGAGGGGCUUCUGCAAAAGCAGUCACCGUACCUUCACCCUGCACCUUGCAUUUUCACCUGCCCAGGGCUGAGCACAGUGCUUGAGGCACAGCAGCAUGCAUGCAACUGGGAAAACAAAGGCAGGACUGAGAGUCCAGGACCAGAGAGGAGCCUGCUGUUGGCACCUUUCAGGCUCCUUUCACACCAGGUGCACUGAUGCAUCCAAGGUGCUCCUGGUGUCUCCUGCAUCCCAUCCCUGUUAUGUUCUCUGAGUGACUUGUACCUGAGACAUGGGGGAGACACUUGGGAGAAUGUCACCAUCUCUAUGGAGAAGACGCAGCUAUGGGUGUCGGGUGAGGCCGCCUGUGUGUGAACUGAGGAAGAAGCCACAUCCAAUUUGGGCCACGCAAGUAUCAGUGGUGGAUUGGGGCCAGGGAGAGAGAGGCAGGCAGCAUGGCGGGAGAGACAGAGAUGGGACCAGGGAGAAGGGACCAC